GAGAUCGUACUUCUAGGGAUCAGUCCUAUAGUACGUAUCACCAGGACGACAAACAAACUUGACCCUGGCUAGCCAACCGUGAUGAUGAUCUGUGCGGCCUAGUCCCAAGCGUGAAGCGGGUGUGUGGCUGUCCGUCUGGCUGAAUGCUUAUAGCCUAAGUAAGUGUGGGCUCGGCCGCCUCCUUGUUCGAU
rnacentral:snoRNA from 1 species